AUCCACACGACUCUCGGCAACGGAUAUCUCGGCUCUCGCAUCGAUGAAGAACGUAGCGAAAUGCGAUACCUGGUGUGAAUUGCAGAAUCCCGCGAACCAUCGAGUCUUUGAACGCAAGUUGCGCCCGAGGCCAUUCGGCCGAGGGCACGCCUGCCUGGGCGUC
rnacentral:rRNA from 1 species